AUUGCACCCGAGAAACUCCUCCUGUUGAAGGAGCAACUGGCGCAGCUGUCGACUGUUCAGAUUCGAUUGCGGUUUUCACCUCAGCUCGAACCUCAUUCGGUGGAGCUGUUGAUGGUGCCGUGGUAGCUCUAUCUUCACUUCUGCCCUUUCAACUGACAGCACGUUGGGAAGUGCUAUCGGGGCUGACAGCGCUAGAAUCGGUUCAGGAAUCGAUGCAGGUUGUACAUCGGGUUCCUCAGUCGGCACAGAAGC
rnacentral:lncRNA from 1 species